rnacentral:rRNA from 1 species
UACGUAGGGUGCGAGCGUUAAUCGGAAUUACUGGGCGUAAAGCGUGCGCAGGCGGUUCGCUGUGUCUGCGGUGAAAGCCUGGGGCUCAACCCCGGGUCGGCCGUGCGAACUGUUUUGCUUGAGCACUGUAGAGGCAGGCGGAAUUCCGGGUGUAGCGGUGGAAUGCGUAGAGAUCCGGAAGAACACCGGUGGCGAAGGCGGCCUGCUGGGCAGUAGCUGACACUGAGGCGCGACAGCGUGGGGAGCAAACAGG